CAACCCACAGAGAAGUUGGGAGAGCUGAGGAAGCAACUCCACUUAAAAUUCAUCUUAAAGUCUUCCUUUUAGAAAAAAGAAAUCAACAAUUUAUUGAUUACUGGAAGGAAAUGCAUACACGAGGCAGUGGAAUUGGAAUGGAAGAAGAAAGUGGAGUGAGGUGGUGCCCUCUCUCUGAGCGAAGUUAUCAGGGAGACCGAGUUUAAUAGCCCUUACUUUCACAGUAGUGGACCUCACAGAUCAGCGGCCUCCGCUUCCCAGGAAAGAACAACACACACAUAGGAACCAUCUACAGUGGAAUUGAGUGAAGCUUACGCCAAAAGCAAAGAAAGCAACUUUGUCCCCGUAAAACAUGCUUUGAGCUUCAUCGGUUCCUUAAAUCUCAAGAUGGGAGAAGUUGCUUCUGGUGGUUGGUGAAGCGUCAUCAGGCAGCUAGAAUGCAACGAGAUGACUGCAUUGCUUCAUCACCCUUUCAUGAACAUAGUCAUCACGCAGGAGGAGGACAUUCUGACUCAAACGCCUUUGCUGUCAUCGCAAAUGCAAUUUACAGUUCAGAAAUGUAUCCGAUCGGGAUGACGCAGAAGAAAGGAGAGCAAAAUUUGAAAUUCCAAAUUUAAAUGGAAUCACAGUCUGGUUUAUCUUUUAUAAUUAAUGACUCCAUGUACCGUCGCUGAUAAUUUCAAAAUUCUAAAUCCCAAAUCUGAGGUGGUUAAACUUGUGGAUGCAGAACCUGCGGAUAUAGAGGGCUGACUGCACUCCAUGCCACUUUCCCUUUGAAGCAAUUGCACCAUCCAUGCAUACCAAAGUCCCAGCAAUGACGACAUUCAUGAAUAGAAAACUGGAAUAUAUUUCACCGUGGGAAAAAUGUUCUUAUUGAUUCAGGAUCAAAAUGGAGAAGCAAGUACAGGAUGAUGAUCUUAAUGAGCUCUUUUAGAGUCAAAGAAAGGAGAUGAUUUGGAAAGGAAACAAAUGAGGAGACCCAGAAGUCAAUCCCGUUGCGGAGCCACUGGGCUAGGAUGAGGUGUGGUCUCCAUGGAAGAGGGAACCCACCCAAAGCCAUCGUAAACGGCUGACAUCUGAGAAGGCCAGGCUGGAAACCCAAAUGCAUGGGGCAAUGGGGUGUGGAGGGGGAGAUAACCAGCGGCCAGCUAGAGGAGCUGAUGCCCACGCUAGGAGACCUGUGGGUGGGAGAGCCCCAAUAAAGGAGGGUCUCCACAAAAUAAAGUAAAAUCCACCCAACACCAAAGGAAAAGGAGCUGUGACCUCUCCCAGGCCCAGAAAACGCCAACCUUUGAUCACAAAGGCACCUGUUGGGUGAGGAAGUUCCUAUCCUUACUUUUCCUUUGGAACACUGGGUAAGGAGGAGAUGGAAAACUUACGGAGAAACGGGAACCCCUCUUUUCCCUCUAUACCUUCCAGCCCAAAGCAGCAGCAAGCUGGGAGAUGUUUUAACGUUAUAAAAUUUUUUUUUAAUUAUUAUGAAAAUUUUCACAUAUAUACAGAAAGACUACAGUAAUGAACCCCCAUUCACUCAUCCCCCUACUCUCAACGAUUAUCAGUAUUCUGCCUUUUACGUUUUAUCUAUUCUGCCCUGGUACUAUUUUUCCUAGAGUAUUUUAAAGCAAAUCCCAGACAUUGCAUCACUUUACUGGUAUGUACUUCAGUAUAUGUCUCUAACAGAUAAGGAUAUUAAAAAAAAACCAUAACCACAAUAACAUUAUCACACCCAACCGAACUAAUACUAUUCCUGUAAUAUCUAAUAUCUAAUAGGCAGUCCGUAUUCAAUUUCCCCGCUGGACUCAGAAAUGAAUUUUUCAGCAGGUUUAUUCAAAUCAGGGUCUAAACAGGACCCUUGCCUUUCAUUCAUGGGAUAGGCCUCUUAGCACAUGGCUUUUCUCCCGAUAGAUUUUAGCAGCCACUAAUGAUUGCCAUGAAGCUCCACUAUUUCUUUCGGGGGUUGCAAAAUUGUGAUUUUCUAACAAUGUAAUUACUUUGCUAUCAAUUAGGUGGGUUCUUCUAUUAAGCAGAAUUUUCCCCUAUUGACUGGUUGGUUACUCUGAAAUGCAGUCUGUAUAUGAAAAGCAGAAUGGGGCUGGGCACGGUGGUAAUCCCAGCACUUUGGGAGGCCGAGGCAGGCAAAUCACUUGAUAAUUACCAAAUCACUUUGGUAAUCCCAUGGGCACACAUGUAAUCCCAGCACUUUGGGAGGCCGAGGCAGGCAAAUCA